GUGCCUAAAACUAACAGUAAGGAAAACCGUCCAACCUUGCUAACAGCUCGGUUGAUGUGCUUCUAGGCAGUGAAGUGGGUGGGCAUUGGUACUUGAUUGUGCCGUGUCUGCUCGCUUUACGAAGCGCCAAUUUUUGAAUGGGCACAGGUCGUCCCUUCGAACUCAUGCGCACGCUCACUACUUUCGAGUUGUGUCGUAGAGUUUGGGUGAAGCGAUCUGCCCG